CCUACCAUGCCGCUCGCCGGUUUCCACCAGGAAUUAAUAGGGAAUCCGUCGCUCAUCAGGUUGCUCGGCCAUCUGACCCGCGAACCGGAACUGCCCCCGCAACUGUAGGUGCCGAGCCUGCUCCACGAUGCCACUGGGUCAAACGAUCCGGGAAGGCCGGAGCCGGGCCUGGACGCGCCAGUCAGGAGACCUGCCGGCAAAAAAUCAACCAA
rnacentral:ncRNA from 2 species